ACUAAGUUUCAACAACGGAUCUCUUGGCUCUCGCAUCGAUGAAGAACGCAGCGAAAUGCGAUAAGUAAUGUGAAUUGCAGAAUUCAGUGAAUCAUCGAAUCUUUGAACGCACCUUGCGCUCCUUGGUAUUCCUUGGAGCAUGCCUGUUUGUGUAUCAUGAAAU
rnacentral:rRNA from 1 species